GCGGGAGUAGCUCAGCGGUAGAGCCCCUGCCUUCCAAGCAGGAUGUCGCGGGUUCAAAUCCCGUCUCCCGCUCCA
rnacentral:tRNA from 1 species